AAGUCGUAACAAGGUCUCCGUUGGUGAACCAGCGGAGGGAUCAUUACAGAGUUAUCACAACUCCAAACCCAUGUGAACCUUACCUCCUGUUGCCUCGGCAGGGCCUACCGGGCGCUCGCCGCCCCGCGUAGCGGCCUGCCGGCGGACCGAUAUAAACUCUUGCCUCAUGGUGUCUUCUGAGUAACGCAACAUAAUAAGUUAAAACUUUCAACAACGGAUCUCUUGGUUCUG
rnacentral:misc_RNA from 1 species